AGCAAUUUCCAGUCAAUCAAUAGUCAAAUUUCGAGUAAAUUUCAGGGAAAGAUAGCUCCAAUUUUGAUUUUUGACAAAUUGCACACACGCAGAGUCUUGUCUUGAAGCUUUUUAUAUACAGGUUCACACCCAGAAAUUGCCCCUCUUCUCUUUUAUGUGGGUGAUGCUCUGAAGCCUAAAUGGAGAAGUUGAAUCGGAUUCCACUCAGAGAACGGCAGUGCGACGGGGAGGAGGAUGAUCGGAGCAUGGUGCAGGUCGAUGGUGGUGAGCUUGACGGUGGAUUCGAUGGAGGAGAGGAGGAGGAGGGCGUGAUGAAUGGAAUGGAAGAAGUGGCGCAAAUGAGUUCGAUGGAUUUUAAGAGUAAUAAUGGUUGUAUGGUUCAAUCAUCUAGGACCAGUGAGCUUACCAUCGCUUUUGAAGGCGAGGUCUAUGUUUUCCCUGCGGUUACGCCUCAAAAAGUGCAAGCAGUGCUGUUACUUCUGGGAGGGGCUGAUACACCUGCCAGUGUACCAAGUUCUGAAUUUUUGCUGCAACAGAAUGCUGGAGUAUAUCAUAGUGUGGGUGAUGCUUCUCGAGGAUCAAAACUUUCUCGAAGAAUUGCCUCCCUGGUAAGGUUCCGUGAAAAGCGUAAAGGAAGAUGCUUUGAAAAGAAAAUUCGGUACAAUUGCCGGAAAGAAGUUGCCGAGAGAAUGCAUCGUAAAAAUGGACAAUUUGCAUCACUGAAGGACUGUUACAACACAGAUGCUGGUAGCAACUGGGAACCAAGCAAUGGCACUCCUCAUUCUGAAUCUAUUUUAUGUAGAUGUCAACACUGUGGGAUUAGUGAGAAGGACACUCCAGCAAUGCGUCGGGGCCCAGCUGGUCCAAGAACUCUCUGCAAUGCUUGUGGCCUUAUGUGGGCAAAUAAGGGCACUUUAAGGGAUCUUACCAAGGGAGGGAGGCAUAUUUCUUUUGAUCAAAAUGAGCUGGGAACUCCUGAUUUUAAACCUUCAACUAUGGAACAAGAAAACCCUUAUCCUAACCAGGAUGAAGAGGUAUGGUUUCUUAUAUCAAUUGACAUGAAUAGACACGAAGCAAACUAACAGCAAAAUAAUCUGGCAUCACUAUGGUACAUCAUUGUAUUGCUCUCACUGCUACUUGUGUGUAUAGUGAUAAAUUGUGGGAUAAAUCCACAUCAAAAAAUUCUUGUUUAUCUAAAACAGCAGCCUGAACUUUGAUCAGUGAUGCUUCAUUUGUUUAAUCUUCAGGGGAGCCCAGAAGAGAAUAAGCCAGCACCGUUACAUUCUGAGAGUUCUUUGAGACCAAAUGAUCAGGUAAUAUCUUUUUCUAGGCUUGAAAUUGACUUGACAUGACAUGAAUUAUUAACAAGUUUUCAUGUUGCAAUUGGGUCGACAUUAUAAUGACAUAAGCAUGAUACCUAAACCCGAAACCACUAAUUUUGUGUCAGGUUCUUGCAUGUCCAAUAACCCCUAGUCCUGGUUGCCAUGUUGUGGGAUCAAGGUGUUGUCAAAGUGUAAUAGUUGCAACGAUAGUUGCCUAAUUCGCUCGUUCCCCUUACUAACCACAAUCUGGACGCUUCCCAGAAAGUAGUAUAUAUUGGCAUUCUGGAUCAUCUUGGUAGCUAUCUGGAUCCCUAAAACUGGUGUUCCGGUUCUUGCUUUCCAUUUGAUUUAGCAAGUAUGUUUCCCACGGCAAUGCUAAUAAAAAAGAAACAAGGACAAUAAGGUUUUGAUAAGGGAAAGUAGCAGUACACUGAAGAAGAAUAAGCAGAAGUGUAAUGGAAAUGGAGACUACGAUUAAAUUGACGUUAGGUGAGAUUGGGUGUGAUUUAUUGCUUAUUUAUUAUGGGGAAGUGGGAAGGGUUAGUCUUGUGGCUGUUUCUAAUAAUUUUUAGUAAGUAAAUGCCAGAUAUUAUAAAAAAAGACUAAUAUAUUGGGUUAGGGGCCAAUUAAUAUAUUAACUACUAAUUUGUAUUCGCUAAUUUAUUGGUGUACCCCAUAGUCUAAUAGUAAAACUCUUUUUGGGCUCUCUUUUUAUUAAUAUUAAUCUUGUAAAAUAUAUACAUCAUAAUUCUUUUUUGAAAAAAUAAAAGGAAAUUAUUAUUUGAUUAGGUUUUUUAGACUUGGGGAUUAUAUUAGUUAAGUUUAAUUCAUGUACCUGAACCAAAUUGAUAUAGUUCACAUACCACAUUCUGAAUUGGUGUACAAGCUAAACCUACCCCGUGUAUCCUGUAUCUAGCUAAGUGAUGUAUUACGUACUGUAUGCCAUACCACGAUCCAAAAUGUACUAUGUUCCAGGUAACUAUGGUUGUGACUAGUGUUUCUACAAAUUCUUUUGGUUAUUAGCUUGCAAAAAUGUAUUAUCUAUAGUGUAACAGCCAUGUGGCCUAUUUCACAUGUGAUUCUUGAAUAACUUCCCUGAAAUGGCCAGUAACAUAAAAGAUAAGCAAAUCAGUGGCCGUUGACCAUGUUGUCAUAAGAUGACAUUUGAUUAUUGGCAAUAUUGACUUUAGCCAGACUACAUUAUGUGUCAAGAAUAAUGUUUCCAGAACAUGAUGCCUGAAAAAGUUAGGAAGGCGUGAUUAGUUGCAACUCCUUUCUAGUUUCUACUAACCUAUUAAUUGUUGAUCUUUCCUUUGGGGUUUAGAAGUUGGAAUUUUUAUUAAAUUUCAAAAGGCAUGAUACAGGGAAGGUUGAAUGCUUGUAUACUUAUUUUAUCCGAGCAAGACCAUGCAACCUAAGAGGCUGCAUGCUUUUAGUGGGGAAUGGACCGGUUACUUUUCAUAGAAAUGCAAUUCCCUGGUUACCAGACCUAGUUGACAUUAAAAAUGUAGCUUUCUUGUUAUCCCCAAUUAGAUGGUCAUGGUUUCAUAUUCCUGUUUAUGGUUUUGAAUGUCCAAUCCACUUUGUGGAAGAUUUGCUUUUGGUUUGGAUAUCAGUUUCACAUUUCCUAUGCGCAGGAGUUGCUGGAAACUGAUGAAACUCUCGCUGAUCCUUUGCCUAUGCAUGUGGAAAAUUCAUCAGUCAACCUAGAUGAUGAGGUAAUGAACUGGAUGCUGAAUAAGUACUUAAGCCCCAUAGGUUUACUGAUAACAAUGCCACUGGAAUGGUGAUUUUGACUUUCGAUCAAGUCUGUGGUGUUCUAGGACAAGUAUAUCAAUUGAUUAAAGUGACGCUAACACACUCGUGAAUUUGCCAGACAUAAUAACUUCUACAAGAAAAAAAGGAGCACUAAUACGUUGUAAUUUAUAUUGUCUUGAUAAAAUGUACAACUCAUCUUUGUCUUUGUUGAAAGAUAUUUUGAGUAGGGUCUUAGUGGCAUGAACAUAAUCUUUUUUGGUGACAAUUUAACUUAACAUUUAUUCAGGACUUCCAGGGCACUUUGGAUGAGCUUGGCAAUGUUUCAGGUUCAGAAUUUGAGAUCCCUGGGAAUUUUGAUGAUCAGGUAGUGGUCUUUUAGCAAAUUGACAUGAAGCAUAUUGGAGACUAACCAUAUAUCCUUCAGCUAGGUUAAAUGCUGUAAAUGUUAGUUACUUCUCCAAGUUCAUGAUACCAACUUACAGGUUGAGCUUGAUGAUUCUAAUACGAGUGAGUGGCCAGGAACUUGAGAUCAUGCUGUGCGCCUGUGACCUUAAUCCUUUAUGUAUAUGUGUCCAGUUUCUUGCCAUGGAUCAAGUUGCAGUUUAUACUAACUAAUAUUAGAAAUCCAGAGAUAGUUCUUGUUUAUAAAGACAGAUUUUUGUGUAUGCAAGUUUUCGGAAUUUACAAUAUGAAUAAUGUUGCCCUUUUCUUGGUUUUUAUGUUUGCUUACUUCAGAUCAUAUUCAAGCCCUUUACUUAGCAGUGUGUCUCUUCUCUGACCUGGAGCUUUUGUUUGUAUUUUUCUUCAAUACAAAUAAUAGAAAAUAUUUUAAUG
rnacentral:misc_RNA from 1 species